rnacentral:rRNA from 1 species
ACGACGCUGGCGGCAGGCCUAACACAUGCAAGUCGAACGGGCGUAGCAAUACGUCAGUGGCGGACGGGUGAGUAACACGUGGGAAUGAUGCCUUUCGGUUCGGAACAACUCGGGGAAACCCGUGCUAAUUCCGGAUACGCCUUACGGGAAAGAUUUAUCGCCGAAAGAUAGCCCGCGUCCGAUUAGCUAGUUGGUGAGGUAAAGCCUCACCAAGGCACCGAUCGGUUAGCGGUUUGAGAGAACGACCAGCCACACUGGGACUGAGACACGGCCCAGACUCCUACGGGAGGCAGCAGUGGGGAAUCUUGGACAAUGGGCGCAAGCCUGAUCCAGCCAUGCCGCGUGAGUGAUGAAGGCCUUCGGGUUGUAAAACUCUUUUGGCGGGGACGAUAAUGACGGUACCCGCAGAAUAAGCUCCGGCUAACUUCGUGCCAGGCAGCCGCGGUAAUACGAAGGGGGCUAGCGUUGUUCGGAAUUACUGGGCGUAAAGCGUGCGCAGGCGGCUUCUCAAGUCAGGGGUGAAAGCCCAGAGCUCAACUCUGGAAUUGCCUUUGAGACUGAGUGGCUUGAGACGAGAGAGGUGAGUGGAAUUCCCAGUGUAGAGGUGAAAUUCGUAGAUAAUUGGGAAGAACACCGGUGGCGAAGGCGGCUCACUGGCUCGUAACUGACGCUCAUGCACGACAGCGUGGGGAUCAAAAAACCGGAUUAGAUACCUGGUAGUCCACGCCGUAAACUAUGAACGCUAGCCGUUGGGUAGCUUGCUAUUCAGUGGCGCAGCUAACGCAUUAAGCGUUCCGCCUGGGGAGUACGGCCGCAAGGUUGAAACUCAAAGGAAUUGACGGGGGGGCCCGCACAGCGGUGGAGCAUGUGGGUUUAAUUCGACGCGAACGCGCAGAACCUUACCAGGGUUAUGACAUCCUGUGCUCGCCGGUGAAAGCCGGUUUCCCCGCAAGGGGCGCAGAGACAGGUGCUGCAUGGCUGUCGUCAAGCUCGUGUCGUGAGAUGUUGGGUUAAGUCCCCGCAACGAGCGCAACCCUCGCCUUUAGUUGCCAUCAUUCAGUUGGGCACUCUAGAGGGACCGCCGGCGGCAAGCCGGAGGAAGGUGGGGAUGACGUCAAGUCCUCAUGGCCCAUUACACCCUGGGCUACACACGUGCUACAAUGGCGGUGACAGUGGGCAGCUAGCUCGCGAGAGUAAGCUAAUCCCAAAAAGCCGCCCCAGUUCAGAUUGCACUCUGCAACUCGAGUGCAUGAAGGUGGAAUCGCUAGUAAUCGCAGAACAGCAGGCUGCGGUGAAUACGUUCCCGGGCCUUGUACACACCGCCCGUCACACCAUGGGAGUUGGCAUUACCGAGACGGUGCGCUAACCGCAAGGAGGCAGCCGGCCACGUAGGGUCAGCGACUGGGGUG